UCUUCCGGCUCGCCAUCUCUGAGCUUUCUUUGUUCUUCUGCAAGCUGCAAUGCCAUUACUUUACUAAUCAUUGUGUCCAGCAAUUUCAUUCUUUCUUUUAACAUACCUCUUUCACAGCACUUUGAUUCUUUCUUU